GUCACCGGACGCGCCCGCUUCUCGCUGGAGUGCGCACCGAGCGGCAGUGACUUCGCCGCUGCUGUAGUUCCCCGGCUGGAUGCGGUGACUGGUGCCAGUGCUCAGGCGCCCGCUGCCCUUGACCUCCCGCCCCGCGAGCCCUAACUCAGCGCAGGAGGACCGGCUGCCGCCGCCGCCGCCGCCAGAUCCACACAACUUAAAGAUCUGCUGUCGAGUGAAUGGGGAAGUGGUCCAGAGCAGCAACACCAACCAGAUGGUAUUCAAGACAGAGGACCUGAUAGCCUGGGUGUCCCAGUGAGUGACAGGGGCUAUCCUGCCAGCCCCGCUCCACCUGCCACACAUGUGGAGGCUGACCUGAGCCCUCCACCUUUGGCUGUGGCCACCUCAGCCAGCCCCUGGUCUCACCGGGUCCUUUUGCUUUGCUCCAGGUCUCUGAAGGUCCAGACAGCACUGAUGGCGAGCUUUGGGUCCGCACACUCUGGAAAGAAGAGAGAAGUGAAGGCUCUAGGUAGGGAGAACAGAGAGCCACUGGGCACAGGCUUCUCUCCUCUUGUUUAAAGAAGCCCAGGGAGGGAUAGAGCUCUGACUGGACAGAAGACUGUACUCUGCAGCCUGCCUUCCUAGAGUUGGGUUGUCACUGUCCUGCAGGGGGCAGCAGCCACCAGCAAACACCACUGCCUGCAGGAGCCUGGGCUGACUGGUUGGGACUCACCGAAGAUCCCUUCUUCCUGGGCGGUGGCCUGCAGGAACUGGAACAGCUGCUCUGUGUAGCCCAACUCUGCAGAAGAGAGAAGACCUAGACCUGGCACCCAGCACAGACACAGCCUGCCUCGAGGACUGCAAGGGAACAAGGGCCUCACCAGUAUCGGGCAGCUGGCCCUGGCGGAGGAAGGCGGCAGCCUGUGCAAAGGCCUUGAGCAGCGGGCUGAGCAGGCGGCAGAGGAAAAGAAAGAAAUCUGGGCAGUGUGACUGCUGGCUGAGCUGGAGGGGACAGGCCGGGGUGAGUGCAGCUCCCCACCGCCUCCCUACCACCUCCCUCCAGGGGCAGCUUUUUGAAACACACCCUGAAGUACCGGCCGUCAGCCUCUCCGAAGUCAUCACUGUCACUAUCAGUAAAGUCCCCACUCGGUUUCCACAGCA
rnacentral:lncRNA from 1 species